AAUCAACGCUGGCGGCGUGCCUCAGACAUGCAAGUCGAACGAUUAAGACUUCCUUCGGGAAGUGCAUAAAGUGGCGCACGGGUGAGUAACACGUAAGUAAUCUACCCUCGAGUGGGGAAUAACGUUCGGAAACGGACGCUAAUACCGCAUAACGCAGCGGCACCGCAAGGUGACAGUUGUUAAAGAUUUAUCGCUUGAAGAGGAGCUUGCGGCAGAUUAGCUAGUUGGUAAGGUAAUGGCUUACCAAGGCUACGAUCUGUAACCGGUCUAAGAGGACGGUCGGUCACACUGACACUGAACAACGGGUCAGACUCCUACGGGAGGCAGCAGUCGGGAAUUUUGGGCAAUGGGCGAAAGCCUGACCCAGCAACGCCGCGUGAAGGAUGAAGUAUUUCGGUAUGUAAACUUCGAAAGAAUGGGAAGAAUAAAUGACGGUACUAUUUAUAAGCUCCGGCUAACUACGUG
rnacentral:rRNA from 1 species